AAGAAGCAGGAGAGUGUCUUGCUGAGAAGCUUUAUAAGAAGGGCUGCAUAAGAGGAGGUCUUCCCCGUAUGGAAUAAGGUGAGAAGUCGAGGGACAGAAAGAGAGCAAGUUGUGAAUGAGGGCCUUACUGAAGUAGUGUGGGCUCUCCCCGAAGCCCUGAGGCAGGACAAUCCAGGGAGAAGAAAAUGAAACCGAAAGGACAAGGAAGCUGACAGGCAGUGAGAAGGGCUAAAGAAGAGAGUUGAGGCAAACUUCUUACAUGAUCUAAGAAUGUCAUUAUGUUGAUUGUUACCUACGGCCAGCAUCUGAGGAAGCCAUCUCAGAAAGAUUCUCUAUAACCAAGAAAUUCAUACAGAGUGCUCACCACUGAAAGCACACAGAGUUGAAGCCAGGCUGUACAAGAAGCAUGACACCAACCAGCAUCUGCUUCCACCCAUGAGAGAAGAUAAACAGAAGCCAGCUCUUCAGGAAUAAAAUGGAAAGAAAGAGGCAAGACAGAAGAAAGAAAGAGAUACCAAGCAUUUUCAACAACUAGUUCUUGAGGGAACCUAAAAGUGAGACUUAUGCCCUCCUGUUAGUGUAGCACCAAGCUACCAAUGAAGAAUUCACCCCUACAUCCCAAACACCUCCCACCAAGCCCCACCUUCAAAACUAGGAAUCCAAUUUCAAUGUAAGAUUUACUGGGUCCAAACAAACUCUAUCCAAACUCUAGCAAUGAUGAUGAUAAUCAUGAUUAUGAUCAUGAUUUCAGCAUACAAGGAGCCAAGACUGCUCGUUAGUCUCCUUUCCUAAAUAGUCCAAGCUAUUUCUGUUAAUUAUUUUAUGAUUCUGUCAUGUCUCAGAAUUUCCUGAUGAUAUUUUGGUCAUAAUUGCAGUAAUUAUUAUUGAUUAUAGACAAUUAGCAACAUUACAGUGGUCAUUUUUUCUAUCAAAGAACACAGACCACUGUAUCCAUGUAUUUAGAUAUUCUUCUUAAUCUACAGUAAAACUUUUUUAAUUUAAAGUAAUUCUGAUCUUUAUUAUAUACUGUGAUGGUAAAUAUUGAAUGUCAACUUAAUUGGAUUAAAGGAUACAAAGUAUGGUUCCUGGGUGUGUCUGUGAGGGUGUUACCAAAGGAGACUAACACUUAAGUCAAUGGACUGGGAGAGGCAGACCCACCCUCAAUCUGGGUGGGCACCAUCUAAUCAGCUGCCCACCCAGAUUGAGCUAGAAUAAAGCAGGCAGAAGAAGUUCGAAAGGGCAGACUUUCUGAGACUUCUGACCUUCCCCUUUUUCCUGUGCUGGAUACUUGAUGCCCAGCUUCUGGACUCUUAGACUUACAUCAGUGGUUUGCCAGGGGCUCUCAGGCCUUUGGCCACAGACUGAAGGCUGUACUGUCAUUUUCCCUACUUUCGAGGUUGUGUUGCGGGACUUGGGCUGGUCUACCACAAGCUUCCUUGCUCCUCAACUUGCAGACAACCUGUCGUGGGACUUUUCCUUAUGAUCGUGUAAGUAAAUCUCCUUAAUAAGCUCCCUUUCGUAUACACAUAUAUCCUGUUAAGUCUAUCCCUAUUGAGGACCCUGACUAAUACAGAUUUUGGUACCAGGAGUGGUUCUAGAGGAACAGAAUUUUAAGGAUGUAUUUCUUUAGUUGGUUUUGGGAUUUUGGGAGUUGGCUGCUUAAUAUGAUUAGAUACCAAAAUGUUAAGGAUUCUACUUCUAAUAGUAUAAAGCACUGAUAGUCUUUGGUGUGAACUGUUUAGAAAGUUAGGAAAAAUGAAAGCAUUUGAUACUCCUGAUUUACUACUCCUGAGAGGCAAGGAGUUUAGUGACUCUGUACAUAAUACCUUUGACUAUAUGUGGAGAAUCAAGGUAUAUAAUGAAGUUGGUUGGUUGCUCCUGAGUCCACUGGACAAAAUGAUGAACUAAGAAGGUGAGCUCAGGCAUUCUAACUCCCAGUUCCAUAAGCACAUCCUGAACCUCAAGUCUUCUUUUUUUUAUAUAUUUGGAAAUGGAGUCUCACUCUGCUGCCUAGGCUGGAGUUCAGUGGCACAAUCUUGGAUCACUGCAACCUCCACCUCCCAGGUUUAAGCAAUUAUUCUGCCUCAGCCUCCCAAGUAACUGGUAUUACAGAUGUGCACCACCACACCCUGUUAAUUUUUUGUAUUUUAGUAGAGACGGGGUUUCAUCAUGUUGGUCAGGCUGGUCUUGAACUCCUGACCUUAGGUGAUCUGCCCACCUUGGCCUCCCAAAGUGCUGGGAUUUGCAGGCAUGAGCCACCAUUCCCAGCUGAGCCUCAAGUCUUCUAAAAUUGCCCUAAGUGAGUCUUUUUUUCUGUAAAGAACUGAAAU